rnacentral:rRNA from 1 species
AUAGCGUAUAUUAAAGUUGUUGCAGUUAAAAAGCUCGUAGUUGAACUUCAGGCCUGGCUGGGCGGUCCGCCUCACGGCGUGUACUGUCUGGCUGGGUCUUACCUCUUGGUGAGCCGGCGUGCCCUUUAUUGGUGUGCGUCGGGGAACCAGGACUUUUACCUUGAGAAAAUUAGAGUGUUCAAAGCAGGCCUGUGCCUGAAUACAUUAGCAUGGAAUAAUAAAAUAGGACGUGCGGUUCUAUUUUGUUGGUUUCUAGAGUCGCCGUAAUGAUUAAUAGGGAUAGUUGGGGGCAUUGGUAUUGAGUCGCUAGAGGUGAAAUUCUUGGAUUGACUCAAGACAGACUAUUG